rnacentral:piRNA from 1 species
CAGGACUGGAACUCAGGUCAGAAAGCA